AUUCAAUAAUAAUGUGCACUCAGAUCUAAGCUAUCUGGGGAUAUGUUGCAUGUAUAUGUUUUAUAUAGUAAUUGUAACAUUGUGUAAUUUUAUGUCUUUUUGUAACCAUGUGGUUAAUGGAGUCUUGCCUCUGUCCUGGGAGAAAAUUUGAUUACUUCCCAAUUAUCUCCAGGAUAGAGAGGAGGGAUUGUGAUAUCACUGUGGGAGUGUUUUGUUUGUAUUGUCUGUGAUUGGUUAUACUGGGUCCCACCCUGUGAGAUGUCCCCUUGCAUGGGGACUUGCAUAAAAGCCAG